UAAAUACUCCCUCCGUCCCAAAAUAAGUGACUCAACUUUGUACUAGCUUUAGUACAAAGUUAGUACAAAGUUGAGUCACUUAUUUUGGGACGGAGGGAGUAUAUA
rnacentral:pre_miRNA from 1 species